rnacentral:sRNA from 1 species
UAGCAACAUCCUUGAUUUCCUUAUGUUG